UGAAAGAGAGAUCAAAGGGACAGAGGCACAAAGAGAGGGCAAGCAAGAGGUUUCAGCACAGUGUUGUUUUCGCUGUUUUUCCCUCUUUUCUUUCUCUUUCUUCCUUUCUUCCUU
rnacentral:ribozyme from 11 species